rnacentral:lncRNA from 1 species
CAUCUUCGCUAGCCAAGGGUUACGAUCCACUACCGCUCUCUUCACCCAUGGCAGAUUGAGCCAACAUUUGUGAUAUCAAUGUCGCGCCAUCUAUCGGAAGAUUAAAGUCACGCCCAUUCCGAAUACAUUAUUCUUGACCAAUGGUAGCACUUGAACUCUUCAAUUUGGAGGUAAAAACACGGUAGUGUCUAGAUUCUACCCACUUGGUAAAGCCGGAAACGAAAAAAUACGUCAACAUCCAUGCAUUUGUGCAUGAAACUUACACAGGAACUUCUAUUUGUUGAUUAAAAACAUUCAAGUUGUCACUAAAUAUAGUCGUAUGUUUAG